UUGAAAAUAAAAAAUUAUGUGUAAACAAUGAACGAGAUCAAAUUCAAAUAAAUUAUUACAUGAAGAACGUGCAUUAAUCACAUCCUCACGAUUCUAAAACUACAUUCGCAACAUUUAGCGUAUUCAUCCAGGAAAGAGCCUCUCUUAUGGCGAGCAACUCAGCCAUUCGAACCUCCCACAUAGUGUUUAUCGUUACUGAGCAUCCUCUAAAACACGUGCUAUUAUGAUCCCAGAUAUUAGCUGAAAAAGAAGAACAUCCCAACCGAAAAGAAGAUGCAGCGCCCACAUUACACUUGAACAGAUCAACAACCAGCUUCUCCCAAUCAACCCGGCUAUUAACGAAACUCAUUGAAAAUCGCUGCACCCUGGUAAACACAGCCCGAGCAUCCUUCCAUUCAGUCAAAAACCGAUCCGCUUUGGCAACUAUCUCAGCAGCAAACACAUCUGUUUGUUUCCAAACAAUCAAAUUUCGAUGAAACCAUAGACACCAAGCAAUAGUUAAAAUCCUGCAACAUUGAC
rnacentral:lncRNA from 1 species